CUGGUUGAUCCUGCCACUAGUCAUAUGCUUGUCUCAAAGACUAAGCCAUGCAUGUCUAAGUAUAAGCAGAUUAUACUGCGAGACUGCGGACGGCUCAUUAAAACAGUCACAAUCUAUUCGAUGAUUCUUACUACUCGGAUAAACCGUAGUAAUUCUACAGCUAAUACGUGCACAAACACCAGGCUCUGCCUAGUGGUAUUUAUUAGAUCAAACGCCAAUAGACUUAUGUCUUUCGGUGAAUCAUAGUAACUUCUCGGAUCGGUCUCAGACCGACAAAUCGUUCGAAUUUCUGCCCUAUCAGCUUUCGAUGGUAGGAUAGAGGCCUACCAUGGCUUUAACGGGUGACGGAGAAUUAGGGUUCGAUUCCGGAGAGGGAGCCUGAGAAACGGCUACCACAUCCAAGGAAGGCAGCAGGCGCGCAAAUUACCCAAUCCCGACUCGGGAGGUAGUGACAAGAAAUAACAAUAGCCGAUGUUAAUUACGAUUGGCUAAUUGGCGAAUGAGUACAAUUUAAAUCCUUAACGAGGAUCCAUUGGAGGGCAA
rnacentral:rRNA from 1 species